AUUUUAAUGUAUAGUAUUAAACAUGGGUUAUACGCUAAUCUACUUUAAAAUUGAGAAUCACAACUCCAAUUGUAAAUAUUUUCCUUAUUCAUUGCUUAGUAAUGCCUACCUUACCAUACAUGAAUUUCUUAUAUAUAACUGGUCAAUUUUUGAGCUUUUCAACAUAUUUCAUUAAUUUCUGAUUCUAUUUUUUGUUCUUUAGCUCAGUGGUUCUCAACCAGGGGUAAAUUUUCUACCAAGAGCACAUUUUUGGUCAUCACAACUGAAGGAGAAGGUGCUACAGGCAUUUGAUGAGUAGAGUAGAGGCCACUGAUGCUACUGAACAUGUUACAAUGCACAGGACAGCAUCCACAAUAAAAAAUUAUCUGGCCCCAAAUAUCAAUGGUGCUGAUGUUGACAAAUCCUACUUCAGCUUUGUAUUUUAUUUACUGAUGUAAACUGAAAGUGUUCUAUAUAAUCCACCUGUUGGUAUAGGAAGACUACAAGGAAAGAUCAACUUUGACGAUACGUUUGAGACUUUACAAGUUUGGUUGCUGAAUAUAGAAAUUAAACCCAAGGGCAACAAACAUUUAUGCAAAAUUCCUCCAAAGUGAUACUCUCAACACCUAAGGUCUACAUGAACCUUACAGAAGAAGUAAGCUCGGCUAAACUGGAGCUAAACAAAAACCACAAAUAUAAGGAAACAGUCCACCAUGAGCUAAAGAAAGCAGACACAACCAACAGGAGGAUCAGAGUGCCAAUAUUUUCAGAUAAUAGGACAAUCUGAAAAUACAUAAUUGCAUUUGAUAUAAUUAAAGACAAACUAAAACCAUAAGCACAGAAAAUGACACUAUAAAAAUAAUUUUAAAAACACACAGAAUUUCUGGAAAUUAAAAAGCAGCAACGAGAUGGGCUAAGAGAUGGAGUGAAAGAAUGAGAAGAUACACAUAGAUGUUGCAGAAAAGAUAUUUGAAGCAGCAAUGGUUGAGAGUUUUACAGAAUUAGUGACAAACAUGACUUAAUAUUCAGGAUACACAAUAAGUCCUAGCUAGUAUAAAUUCACACUUAGACAUAUUAUAUUGAAAUUUCAGAGCACCAAAAGAGGUGGAGGAUUUAACCCCCCAACUCAUGACAAAGUUGGAGGGUCAGACAUGCCUCAUUAUACCCUCCUCCCUUUUGGAAUUCAGGAAAAGUUGACCAGCGUUUACCAUCUACACAGACUUUAAGUGUGAUAAGAAACAUUUACAGUCUAUUCUCUCUGGAGCCUGCUACCUGGAGGCUUCAUCUGUAUGAUAAAAUUUUGGUCUCCAUAACCUCUUAUCAAACCGGACAUUCCUUUCUAUUGAUAAUGACUCUUUCAACAAAUUGCCAAUCAGAAAAUUUUUAAAUCUACCUAUAACCUGAAAGCUCUCCCCUUCAGAUUGUUCCACUUUCUGGAUCAAACCAAUGUAUAUCUUAAAUGUAUUUGAUUGAUGUCUCAUAUUUCCCUAAAAUGUAUGAAACCAAGCUUCACCCUGACCACUUUGAGCACAUGUUCUGAGGGUCUCCUGCAGGCUGUGUCACAGGGCGUGGUCACUCAUAUUUAGCUCACAAUAAAUCUCUUCAGAAUUGGAAUCUCUUCAUCAACAGUACUAGACUCUUGCUGAAAGGAUUGCUAAAGGAUAAACUUCAUGAGCAAAUUACAGUAGGAGAGGAAUAGUAAGCAAAGAAACUGAUGAAUACAGGUAAAUUCAAAGAAGCCCAACUGAAAAAAAGGUGAAAAUUUUAAGGAAAAUAUAAAAAUGAAGGAUGACAUAUAAGAGCUCGAAGUAGCCAAAGAAUGGUCAUUGAUUGUUUAAGAGAAUCAUGGAGCUAUUGAUGAACUUCAGUUUGUGUUGUCAAAUAUGUAUAUUUAAAAUUUUAAAGUAAUUUAAAAAAAGAAAUAUAAUUUUUAACCAAUAAAGGAAGGAAAUAGGGGAUUAAACCAAAUUAAGUAAUCCAAAGUAGAUGAUGGUAGGGAGCAAGAAAAAAGUAAAAAUCCACGUUUAUUCAUAAUUCAAUAGUAAAACACUUGAAAUAUUUUCUUUAAAGUCGGCAACAAGGCAAAGAUGUUUUCUACCACUGCCUCUAUCCAACGUUACAGGGGAGUUCUUAACCAAAGCAAUAAGACAAGGCAAAAAAGUAAAAAACAUGACAAUUGGAAAAGAAGAAAUAAAUCUGCUGCCACUUAUAGAUGAUGUAAUUGUCUGAAAAAAAACUACAGAAUAUAUGACAUACUCAUAAAAUUAAUAAUAGAGGUUUUUAAAAUUUCUUCAAAGAAAUUGAUAUACAAAUAUCAAGGUUGCUUCUAUAAUGCAGCAGAAAACAACUGGCAAAUGUAAUUAUCCCCUAGCAAUUCUGCUAUGUGUCAAACUAAGAGAGCUCUUGCAUAUAUGCACAAAGAGACAAAAAUAAGAAUAUUUUCUGCAAAAACAUUUAUGACAGUGAAAAAGCAUAUUAAGCAAACAAACGCAUAAACAAACUGUCCCUCAGUAGGUAUAUUUGCACAAUAGGAUAAAUUGCAACAAUUAAAACGAAUGGACUGCCCAUCUGGAUAAAUCUCAGAAACAUAAUGUUGAAUGAAAAGGCAAGUUGCAAAAGAAAGGUUCAGCAUAGUGUCAUUUAUGUAAAAUUUUCCUAAAAU
rnacentral:lncRNA from 1 species